rnacentral:rRNA from 1 species
AUUGAACGCUGGCGGCAUGCCUUACACAUGCAAGUCGAACGGCAGCAUGGGUGCUUGCACCUGAUGGCGAGUGGCGAACGGGUGAGUAAUGCAUCGGAACGUACCCGGAAGUGGGGGAUAACGUAGCGAAAGUUACGCUAAUACCGCAUAUUCUGUGAGCAGGAAAGCGGGGGAUCGCAAGACCUCGCGCUUCCGGAGCGGCCGAUGUCGGAUUAGCUAGUUGGCGGGUAAAGGCCUACCAAGGCAACGAUCCGUAGCGGGUCUGAGAGGAUGAUCCGCCACACUGGGACUGAGACACGGCCCAGACUCCUACGGGAGGCAGCAGUGGGGAAUUUUGGACAAUGGGGGCAACCCUGAUCCAGCCAUGCCGCGUGAGUGAAGAAGGCC